rnacentral:lncRNA from 1 species
AAAGUUUGCAGUGGGUUGGGGCACUUUUUUCAUUUUUCAAAAAAUUUCCAAUGGUCUUCCCUUUGUUGACGUCAGGGUUGCUGUGGUCUCCCUUUGCAUUUGAGCCAAAUAUUUCAAAACUUUUUUGGUCACUUUUCAUUUUUCUGUGAAUUUUUAAAAAAAUGCUGUGAUCCCCCUUUUUUCAUCCUAGGUUUGUGUGUCGCCCCCCCUGCCCCCCCCCCCCCCCCUCCCCCUCUGCAUUUCACACAAAUUUUUCAAAAGUUUCUCCGUGAGUUGAAUGUGAUCGUUUUGAUCAGAGGGAUGGUUUUUGAAAGAUUGUUUUCUUUUUUUGGGUACUUUUAGAAUUUUUGAAAAAUUUAUUGUGAUUGCCAUUUUGUUGACCCUAUGGUUGCCUGUGGGUCUCCCCUAAUUUGCAUUUGAUCAACAUUUUUAAAAAUAUGUUUUAUCAGCCGAAAGUGAUUGUUUUGAUGAAAGAAAAGCUUUUCAACAAUUUUGAGAAAGUUUGAAGUGGUUUGGGGCACUUUUUGGACCCCUCUUUGUUCACCCUAGGGUUGCAUGUGCCUCCCCCCUUUGCAUUUGAUUAAAAUUUUAAAAAAGAUGUUUUACCCGUAAGGUAAAGUAAUACGAGCAACAAAAUUGCAGCAACUUGCAAUAAAAUAUUAUUUCAACACAUGUUAAUAGACCUUUCUGGUAAUUACGUCACGAUUACACUGUUUUCAACUUAGCGCCACCUUAAAUGGAAUGGAUUUUAACUUUAGCCCUGUUUACACUACGCUCAAUUUUUGGUACGGCACGGAUAAAAUUGGUACCUGUACCACUUUUUUGGUUCUUGGACCACCUAUUUAGCUAAGCCCCGUUUGCACUACGCUCAAUUUUUGGCACCGUACCACGUUUUGGUUCUUGGACUACCUAAAUAGGUAGGAAUUAAGUGUAGUGUAAACCGGGCUUUUGUUUCUCACGGGCUGCGGUCAGAGGGGCAGAACAUCCUUCUUCAACACAUGCAUCAAAACGAAUUUAGGAUUUUGAAUAUUAAAUGUGGAAAUAAGCUUAAACACGGGCCCUGGCCCCCCGUGUUUAAGGGGCCUGGCCCCUCAGCCUCGUUUUCGUGUUUAAGCUUAUUUCCACAUUUAUUGGUUAAAAUCCAAAAAAAUUUUUAUACAUGUGUUGAAGAAGGAUGUUCUGCUCCUCUGACCACAGUCUGUGAGAAACAAACUUAAAAUCCAUUCCAUUUAUGGCGGUGCUAAGUUGAAAACAGUGUAAUCGUGACGUAAUUAUCGGAAAUGUCUAUUGAAUUGUUGCAACACCCAAGACGACAUUAGUACAAAUUUCCAACGGACAACUUGCAUGUUAGACUAAAUUUUAAUCUAAGUAAAGAGAAAGGAAUCAAGCGCAACAGUUAAAAAG